AGUGAACGCUGGCGGUAGGCCUAACACUUGCAAGUCGAACGGCAGCACAGUAAGAGCUUGCUCUUACGGGUGGCGAGUGGCGGACGGGUGAGGAAUACAUCGGAAUCUACUUUUUCGUGGGGGAUAACGUAGGGAAACUUACGCUAAUACCGCAUACGACCUACGGGUGGAAGCAGGGGAUCUUCGGACCUUGCGCGAUUGAAUGAGCCGAUGUCGGAUUAGCUAGUUGGCGGGGUAAAGGCCCACCAAGGCGACGAUCCGUAGCUGGUCUGAGAGGAUGAUCAGCCACACUGGAACUGAGACACGGUCCAGACUCCUACGGGAGGCAGCAGUGGGGAAUAUUGGACAAUGGGCGCAAGCCUGAUCCAGCCAUACCGCGUGGGUGAAGAAGGCCUUCGGGUUGUAAAGCCCUUUUGUUGGGAAAGAAAAGCAGCAGGUUAAUACCCCGCUGUUCUGACGGUACCCAAAGAAUAAGCACCGGCUAACUUCGUG
rnacentral:rRNA from 1 species